AGUGUGCCCUUUCCCUCCUGCCUUUUUAGUAGCUCCGGGUAAAUAUUGAUUUGCCUCCAGUUUACCUCCUCCCUGAAUGGCCGUUUGCAGACUGAGGAACUAGCCUCUGGAGCGACUCGAUUUUUGUGUUACUUUCCGGCCCGUUCGCCCCCCUUUCUUCCUCCAAGUGGCAUUGUAAAACUCACAGUGACAAAGAAACAGGGUAGGGUUCGAGGCCCCAGUUCCUGAGGAGUUGAGGGCUGUUUUACAUACAGGUCAGACACGGCUAGAGGCCAAGGUCAAGUUGAAAGUUGCAGUCUAGCCAGCGUGAGAACUGCCAUGCAAGCCUGGAGACCCAGGCAGCUGCCGAUAAGCCCACUGCUCACCUCCCUUGU
rfam:Felis catus c520503185.Contig1, whole genome shotgun sequence.